CGGCCCUGCUUUCAGAUGCCCUUCUUUCUUCACAUGCCUUCUGAUUCUUCUGCCUGCUUGUUAUUUAUUGUUGAGCAAGCAGGUGGAGCCCCCAGUUAACUAAUCCCAUGACUUGAAUAUAUCUGCUAGAUUAGUACUAGCAGUACUGUGUGCUAAUUGAAGUAGGGCAGGCAGGCAUGAGGAGGAGGAGGAGGAGGAGGAGGAGGAGGAGGGAGCACUGCCCCCAGGAAUGCAGGGCCCAGCACAUGUUCUCCAUGCUACCUGCAGCUCCAAAAAUGUGCAGUGCAGUUCAGUGCAGUGCAGCCAGAGCAAUGAAUGCAUGCUUGCUUUCAAAAAAAAUCUUAUUAAUGUGUCAUUAGUACUCUUCUAAUAGCCUCAUUUGCAGGCCAUCUUGUCCUCCCUUGGAAAGGAAUCGCCUGCUCCGUCUCAGCAGAAAGUCUGAAGAUUUUCUUGUCGACCGGAUAGUGCAGCGUGUAUGCCACCGAUGGAUGAACACGGCCUGAAAGUGAAAACGACCUGAUGGAAUUGGAGAUAUGCGUAGCGUGCAUCGACAAGUCCGGAUCGAGCCUUUUUACGGCCGGAGCAGGGGAGGGGGAGGAAGAAAGCGCCGGCCACUUCUUGACGGUUCCAAGGCACGUCGCUGCCAUCAUCGGCAACUUGCUCCCGGAGAUGUGUUUGCCGAGCGUGGACGGGAACCGGCACGAGAAAAUGAUGCCUGGAAUUGUGUGUUGGGUGGACUGUGGACCAGGCAAGCAUGAUUCAGACCGCUUGCUUCCCUGAAACUGUAUCGUAUCAGUUCUGAUGUAAUUCUAAUCUGCAGAACCAAAAACUCUGAAUUUAAAGGUUGUGUGCAGGUAGCCACACAUUCA